rnacentral:rRNA from 1 species
AUACGGAGGGUGCAAGCGUUAUCCGGAUUUACUGGGUUUAAAGGGUACGCAGGCGGUAAUUUAAGUCAGUGGUGAAAGCCUACAGCUCAACUGUAGAACUGCCAUUGAAACUGAAUUACUUGAGUAUGGUAGAGGUAGGCGGAAUACAACAUGUAGCGGUGAAAUGCAUAGAUAUGUUGUAGAACACCGAUUGCGAAGGCAGCUUACUAAACCAUUACUGACGCUCAUGUACGAAAGCGUGGGGAGCGAACAGGAGUAGAAACCCUAGUAGUCC